rnacentral:piRNA from 1 species
UCCCCAACCACUUGGGAGGUGACAUGGCC